rnacentral:rRNA from 1 species
UACGAAGGGGGCUAGCGUUGCUCGGAAUCACUGGGCGUAAAGGGUGCGUAGGCGGGUCUUUAAGUCAGAGGUGAAAUCCUGGAGCUCAACUCCAGAACUGCCUUUGAUACUGAGGAUCUUGAGUUCGGGAGAGGUGAGUGGAACUGCGAGUGUAGAGGUGAAAUUCGUAGAUAGUAUGAAGACUGGUAAUGGCGAAGGCAACCUUUUAUCUAAUAACUGACGUUGAGGGACGAAGGCUCGGGGAACAAACAGG